AUACGUAGGUGGCAAGCGUUGUCCGGAUUUACUGGGUGUAAAGGGCGUGUAGGCGGAGAUGCAAGUCAGGAGUGAAAUCUAGGGGCUCAACCCCUAAACUGCUUUUGAAACUGUAUCCCUUGAGUAUCGGAGAGGCAGGCGGAAUUCCUAGUGUAGCGGUGAAAUGCGUAGAUAUUAGGAGGAAAACCAGGGGCGAAGGCGGCCUGCUGGACGACAACUGACGCUGAGGCGCGGAAGCGUGGGGAGCAAACAGCAUUAGAUACCCUGGUAGUCCUCGCUGUAAACGAUGAAUACUAGGUGUUGGGGGACUGACCCCCUCCGUGCCGCAGUUAACACAAUAAGUAUUCCACCUGGGGAGUACGAUCGCAAGAUUGAAACUCAAAUGAAUUGAGGGGG
rnacentral:rRNA from 1 species